UGGGGAAUUUUGGACAAUGGGCGCAAGCCUGAUCCAGCCAUGCCGCGUGUCUGAAGAAGGCCUUCGGGUUGUAAAGGACUUUUGUCAGGGAAGAAAAGGCUGUCGCUAAUACCGACAGUUGAUGACGGUACCUGAAGAAUAAGCACCGGCUAACUACGUGCCAGCAGCCGCGGCAAUACGUAGGGUGCGAGCGUUAAUCGGAAUUACUGGGCGUAAAGCGAGCGCAGACGGUUACUUAAGCAGGAUGUGAAAUCCCCGGGCUCAACCUGGGAACUGCGUUCUGAACUGGGUGACUAGAGUGUGUCAGAGGGAGGUAGAAUUCCACGUGUAGCAGUGAAAUGCGUAGAGAUGUGGAGGAAUACCGAUGGCGAAGGCAGCCUCCUGGGAUAACACUGACGUUCAUGCUCGAAAGCGUGGGUAGCAAACAGGAUUAGAUACCCUGGUAGUUCACGCCCUAAACGAUGUCAAUUAGCUGUUGGGCAACUUGAUUGCUUAGUAGCGUAGCUAACGCGUGAAAUUGUCCGCCUGGGGAGCACGGUCGCAAGAUUA
rnacentral:rRNA from 1 species